UCCCUGGUAGCUCAGUUGGUAAAGAAUCUGCCUGCAAUGCAGGAGAUCCUGGUUCUAUUCCUGGGUCGGGAA
rnacentral:tRNA from 1 species